UGACACGUAACCCUUUUCUUUGAAUUACUUCAACUCAUAGUAUACCUCCAUUCAACACCUCUAACCGACAUUUUGUUUCCGACUAGCACAAAAGUAAUAGGAGUUAAAUGUUAACAUGCAUGCCUGUAAAUAUCAUGCACUGUCAGAGCAACAAAAUAGACAAAAAACAAGCAAAUUAAGAAAACAUCAACAUCAAUUUGAGAACAGAUGCACAGCAUUUAGGAAAAAAGCUGCAAAUAUACAAACGUUCUGCAAAUGCACACAACACAACCAAAUGCACACAACACAACCAAAUACACACAACACAACCGAAUACACACAACUCAACCGAAUACACACAACACAACCAAAUGCACACAACACAACCGAAUACACACUACACAACCAAAUACACACAACACAACCGAAUACACACUACACAACCAAAUACACACAACACAACCAAAUACACACAACACAACCAAAUACACACAACACAACCGAAUAAGGCAAAUGUGCUGCAAAUACAAACACAACCAAAUACACACAACACAACCAAAUACACACAACACAACCAAAUGUGCUGCAGCGGCCCAAAACAAAUACAUUAACAGACACACACCCUGCAAGUACAGAAACAAUGCCAGUCAAAAACACACAAAACAAACACAACAGAAAAAGACUGCAUAUCCAGUCCACACACACAACAGAAGUUCCUCAUGUUUCUGGGGGGAGAACAUAGUGAUUUUCGACCUAAGUGAGAGAGACCCCACGAGAGAGAAGGGGCUAACCUUCUAUUACUGUCUAAUGUCUAUUCUACAAACCAUUUAGGGCCUGUCACAAACUGGAAACUUGAAACAAAGAAAUAGUAAAACACGCCUUGAGCGUUUGCAUCCUGAGAUAAAUCAAAGUGCCACGAUGGGCAAACAAGGCAGAGAUCACAGGACUGGAGAACAGCACUUCUUGCUGAUCACAAACAAUUACACACAAAGACAAAGGAAAAAGCCCAGGGCUUACAUAGGAGCUCAGUGAAUACAUUGGCUACAGGUGAGAACUAAAUUCAAUUAACACAUUGACUACAGAUGAGAACCAAACAUGGAGGGAAAACUAAGUGAGGGAAAUACUAAAACACAGGAGAGGAUGAACGGACUGGAGUAGCAUAUGGAGCAAGAGCAGGAACAGGAACAGAGGAAUGAGCAG
ensembl:lncRNA